GCCCGGAUGGCUCAGUUGGUUAAGCGUCUGUCUACGACUCAGGUCAUGAUCUCACGGUUCGUGGGUUCGAGCCCCGCAUCGGGCU
rnacentral:tRNA from 1 species